UUAGGAAUCUUCCACAAUGGGCGAAAGCCUGAUGGAGCGACGCCGCGUGAGGGAUGAAGGCCUUAGGGUUGUAAACCUCUAAAAGAGGGACGAUAAUGACGGUACCUCUUGAAUAGCGCCGGCUAACUCCGUGCCAGCAGCCGCGGUAAUACGGAGGGUGCAAGCGUUAUCCGGAAUCACUGGGCGUAAAGGGCGCGUAGGCGGUCUGUUAAGUCCGAUGUUAAAUCCCGGGGCUCAACCCCGGAUAAGCGUUGGAUACUGGCAGGCUAGACGGUUGGAGAGGCGAGUGGAAUUACCAGUGUAGCGGUGGAAUGCGUAGAUACUGGUAGGAACACCCAUUGCGAAGGCAGCUCGCUGGACAACACGUGACGCUGAGGCGCGAAAGUGUGGGGAGCAAACC
rnacentral:rRNA from 1 species